rnacentral:rRNA from 1 species
CAGUAGCCGCGGGAAUACAGAGGGUGCGAGCGUUAAUCGGAUUUACUGGGCGUAAAGCGUGCGUAGGCGGCUAAUUGAGUCGGAUGUGAAAUCCCCGAGCUUAACUUGGGAAUUGCAUUCGAUACUGGGAAGCUAGAGUAUGGGAGAGGAUGGUAGAAUUCCAGGUGUAGCGGUGAAAUGCGUAGAGAUCUGGAGGAAUACCGAUGGCGAAGGCAGCCAUCUGGCCUAAUACUGACGCUGAGGUACGAAAGCAUGGGGAGCAAACAGGAUUAGAUACCCCAGUAGUCCCUGUCUCUUAUAC